GACGAACGCUGGCGGCGUGCUUAACACAUGCAAGUCGAGCGGGAAACUUCGGUUUCCAGCGGCGGACGGGUGAGUAGCACGUGGGCAACCUGCCUCACAAUGAGGGAUAGCCUUCCGAAAGGAAGAUUAAUACCUCAUAACACAAGAGAAACGCAUGUUUCUUUUGCCAAAGAAUUUCGUUGUGAGAUGGGCCCGCGGCGCAUUAGCUUGUUGGUGAGGUAACGGCUCACCAAGGCUUCGAUGCGUAGCCGACCUGAGAGGGUGAUCGGCCACAUUGGAACAGAGACACGGUCCAGACUCCUACGGGAGGCAGCAGUGGGGAAUAUUGCACAAUGGAGGAAACUCUGGUGCAGCAACGCCGCGUGAGUGAUGAAGGUCUUCGGAUUGUAAAGCUCUGUCUUCUGGGACGAAAAUGACGGUACCAGAGGAGGAAGCCAUGGCUAACUACGUGCCAGCAGCCGCCGUAA
rnacentral:rRNA from 1 species